rnacentral:rRNA from 1 species
UAGGGAAUCUUCCACAAUGGACGCAAGUCUGAUGGAGCAACGCCGCGUGAGUGAAGAAGGGUUUCGGCUCGUAAAGCUCUGUUGGUAGUGAAGAAAGAUAGAGGUAGUAACUGGCCUUUAUUUGACGGUAAUUACUUAGAAAGUCACGGCUAACUACGUGCCAGCAGCCGCGGUAAUACGUAGGUGGCAAGCGUUGUCCGGAUUUAUUGGGCGUAAAGCGAGUGCAGGCGGUUCAAUAAGUCUGAUGUGAAAGCCUUCGGCUCAACCGGAGAAUUGCAUCAGAAACUGUUGAACUUGAGUGCAGAAGAGGAGAGUGGAACUCCAUGUGUAGCGGUGGAAUGCGUAGAUAUAUGGAAGAACACCAGUGGCGAAGGCGGCUCUCUGGUCUGCAACUGACGCUGAGGCUCGAAAGCAUGGGUAGCGAACAGGAUUAGAUACCCUGGUAGUCCAUGCCGUAAACGAUGAGUGCUAAGUGUUGGGAGGUUUCCGCCUCUCAGUGCUGCAGCUAACGCAUUAAGCACUCCGCCUGGGGAGUACGACCGCAAGGUU